rnacentral:rRNA from 1 species
GGUGAACGCUAGCUACAGGCUUAACACAUGCAAGUCGAGGGGAAACGAUAUUGGAAGCUUGCUUCCGAUAGGCGUCGACCGGCGCACGGGUGAGUAACGCGUAUCCAACCUGCCCACCACUUGGGGAUAACCUUGCGAAAGUAAGACUAAUACCCAAUGAUAUCUCUAGAAGACAUCUGAAAGAGAUUAAAGAUUUAUCGGUGAUGGAUGGGGAUGCGUCUGAUUAGCUUGUUGGCGGGGUAACGGCCCACCAAGGCGACGAUCAGUAGGGGUUCUGAGAGGAAGGUCCCCCACAUUGGAACUGAGACACGGUCCAAACUCCUACGGGAGGCAGCAGUGAGGAAUAUUGGUCAAUGGGCGAGAGCCUGAACCAGCCAAGUAGCGUGCAGGAUGACGGCCCUAUGGGUUGUAAACUGCUUUUAUAAGGGAAUAAAGUGAGAGUCGUGACUCUUUUUGCAUGUACCUUAUGAAUAAGGACCGGCUAAUUCCGUGCCAGCCGCCGCCGUAAGAC